rnacentral:rRNA from 1 species
CCUACGGGUGGCAGCAGUGAGGAAUAUUGGUCAAUGGCCGGAAGGCUGAACCAGCCAUGCCGCGUGAAGGUCAGUGCCCUAUGGGCGUUAAACUUCUUUUGUGCGGGAGCAAUAAUGGUCAUGUGUGGCCAGACGAGAGUACCGUACGAAUAAGCAUCGGCUAACUCCGUCCCAGUAGCCGCGGGAAUACCGGGGGUGAAAGCGUUUUCCGGAUUUAAUGGGUUUAAAGGGUGCGUAGGCUGUGAUGUAAGUAUGCGGGGAAAUGCCCCCGCUCAACGGGGUGAAGUGCCAUUGAUACUGGCUUGCUGGAGUGCGGAUGCGGUGGGAGGAAUGUGUGGUGUAGCGGUGAAAUGCGUAGAUAUC